ensembl:lncRNA
CUUGAACAGUUUCUUCCCCUCUUCAGUUGGGUUCCUUAACAAGUCCCUGGAUCACCACCCCCACUGACUGACACUGACUCUGGCACUCAUACCCAUCACCAAUUUCGCACACUAUCCCUGACAUCGUGCAGGCCUGGAGGAAUGAGCAGAGGGGGAUCAUCAGGGAGUUAAAGGAGACUGGGGGUGGAAUGAUCCUGUCUGGAGACUGCAGAUCAGAUUAUCCUGGACACUGAACCAAAUAUGGUAGCUACUCCUUGAUUGAGGACCAAAUUAACAAAGUUUUGGAUGUUCAACUUGUCCAAAGCUCAGAAGUCCCAAGCAGCUCUUGGUGUGAGCUAGAGGGUCUAAAGCGGAGUAUGCAGUUCCUGAUGGACCAAGACAUGCCAGUGUCUGCUCUGAUAACAGACAGAAAUCGGCAGGUUAUAAUGCUAGGAGAGAUCUAUAGCUGAACAGUAUCGAC